AACGAACGCUGGCGGCACGCCUAACACAUGCAAGUCGAGCGGCAGCGCGAUAUGUAGCGAUACAUAUUGGCGGCGAGCGGCGGACGGGUGAGGAACACGUAGGAACCUACCCUCGAGUGGGGGAUAACCAAGGGAAACUUUGGCUAAUACCGCAUGAUUUCGAGAGAGCAAAGCUGCCGCAAGGUGGCGCUCGAGGAGGGGCCUGCGUCCGAUUAGCUAGUUGGUGAGGUAAGAGCUCACCAAGGGGAUGAUCGGUAACUGGUCUGAGAGGACGACCAGUCACACUGGGACUGAGACACGGCCCAGACUCCUACGGGAGGCAGCAGUGGGGAAUAUUGGACAAUGGGGGCAACCCUGAUCCAGCGAUGCCGCGUGAGUGAAGAAGGCCUUCGGGUCGUAAAGCUCUUUAGGUUGGGAAGAAGAGUGAUGGAGGAAAUGCUAUCACUUUGACGGUACCGACAGAAUAAGCACCGGCAAACUCUGUGCCAGCAGCCGCCGUAAGAC
rnacentral:rRNA from 1 species